UACGUAGGGUGCAAGCGUUAAUCGGAAUUACUGGGCGUAAAGCGUGCGCAGGCGGCUAUGCAAGACAGAUGUGAAAUCCCCGGGCUCAACCUGGGAACUGCAUUUGUGACUGCAUGGCUAGAGUACGGUAGAGGGGGAUGGAAUUCCGCGUGUAGCAGUGAAAUGCGUAGAUAUGCGGAGGAACACCGAUGGCGAAGGCAAUCCCCUGGACCUGUACUGACGCUCAUGCACGAAAGCGUGGGGAGCAAACAGGG
rnacentral:rRNA from 1 species